rnacentral:rRNA from 1 species
GGGGACCCCUAUCGGGCUCGGACUAAGCCAUGCGAGUCGGCUGGGGGCCCUUGCCCCUGGCGGCGCACGGCUCAGUAAUACACGGUCAACCUGCCCUGGGGACCGGGAUAACCUCGGGAAACUGAGGCUAAUCCCGGAUAGGGGUGGAUUCCUGGAAUGGGUCCACCCCCAAAGUAGGCGGGGGAAUGGCCCCGCUGAGGCCCCAGGAUGGGACCGUGGCCCAUCAGGUAGUAGGUGGGGUAACGGCCCACCUAGCCUAAGACGGGUGCGGGCGGUGGGAGCCGGAGCCCGGAGAUGGGCACUGAGACAAGGGCCUAGGCCCUACGGGGCGCAGCAGGCGCGAAACUUCCCCAAUGCGCGCAAGCGUGAGGGAGUGAGCCCGAGUGCCGCCCGCUGAGGGCGGCUGUUCCCGGGUGUAAACAGCCCGGGGUAGGAAGGGGAGGGUAAGGCUGGUGCCAGCCGCCGCGGUAAAACCAGCUCCUCGAGGGGUCCCCACGCAUACUGGGCCUAAAGCGUCCGUAGCCGGCCCCGUAAGUCCCCGGUUAAAUCCACCGGAAGACCGGUGGGCCGCCGGGGAUACUGCGGGGCUAGGGAGCGGGAGGGGCCGAGGGUAUUCCGGGGGAUAGCGGUAAAAUGCGUAGAUCCCCGGAGGACCACCAGUGGCGAAGGCGCUCGGCUGGAACGCGUCCGACGGUGAGGGACGAAAGCUGGGGGAGCAAACCGGACUAGAUACCCGGGUAGUCCCAGCCGUAAACGAUGCCGGCUAGGUGCCGGCCGAGGUUUCGGCCUCGGCCGGUGUCGAAGCGAAGGCGUUAAGCCGGCCGCCUGAGGAGUACGGCCGCAAGGCUGAAACUUGAAGGAAUUGACGGGGGGGCACCACAAGGGGUGAAUGCCUGCGGCUC